GACGAAGGGGGCUAGCGUUGUUCGGAAUUACUGGGCGUAAAGCGCGUGUAGGCGGUUGGUCAAGUCAGGUGUGAAAGCCUUGAGCUCAACUCAAGAAAUGCACUUGAUACUGGAUGACUAGAGGACCGGAGAGGAUAGUGGAAUUCCCAGUGUAGUGGUGAAAUACGUAGAGAUUGGGAAGAACACCAGUGGCGAAGGCGGCUAUCUGGACGGUUUCUGACGCUAAGACGCGAAAGCGUGGGGAGCAAACAGG
rnacentral:rRNA from 1 species